UCGCCGCCUGUGCUCCGGUCGGGCUCUCCGGACGAGAAGCACAUGGACUGGUUCGUCUUCACGUGCUCGACGCGUUGGUGCCAUUCUCCAGCCGAACCACGCCAUCUCCCGUCGCCGGCGAUGCCUCCGGCAAGCUCCACGAAAUAUUUUGUGUUCAUUGCUGUGGAUUUUCUUGGAUGGAUUUAUUUGCAUCUUUCGGUGUUUAUCGAUCAAGUAUUUGGCGUGUACAUAAGUGCGAUCAACGAUGAAUGAUAGAGAUCAGAAAUAUCACAAAGAAAUAAUGCCAGGAAAUCAUGGAAGCGAUGAUAUCGGGUCUUUCUAGGAUUCAAUUCCCAGUCGGUUGCCUGUGGGUGGGUUUGAGGCACACCCGCUGGAUAUUUGAAUCGAUUUCAUUGUAUUUUUCCGCUGCAUAUCCUUUUAUAUUGUAGACCAGUUGGUCAUAAUGUUGUAAAUUUAAUCCAAUUAAACAUUUUCAUCUUGUAAAAUGUAUGGAUGUGAUAUCAUUGUUGUAACCGUGUGUACUUGGUACUGAUCAUGGGACAAGUACAGUGGAAACACGGAGUUUCGGGUAAUCUAAUUACCCGGGGCGUCACAGGAGUCAUCUUACAAAUGUCGUUGUUGUCGUAGAUGAUAGAAACUAUCAACUUGUACUUUGGAAGAAGAUCUUGAAGUAUUAUUCUCAACGCAUGAUCAUCUCCAGCUGGCGUCAAACCAAGCCCAUUAAUCUCAUUCACAAGAAUAUUCAAAUGUGAGUACAUAUUAUUAGCAUUUUUAUGAGUAAGUGGUUUAAUACCAUUGAACUUAGUGACUAGCACAUAAUAUUUCUCAUUGCGCACAUCCUUUGUGCCUUCAUAUAUUUCAAUGGGACUAAUCUAAAUGCCAAGUACAUUAGUGAGAGAAUAUACCUGAUUGAAUGCAUCAAUGCUUAUAGAUGAUAAAAGGAUACUCUUCAUUAAAACAUCAAAUUGCCUCUCCUUGUCUAAGAAGGGGAGAUGCUAGAGGAUAAGGCUGGUGGUUUCAGGGGACAGAGAGAGGCGGAGGGAGAGAAAGUGGGGCGACCAGGGAGAGAGGGAGCCGGAGAGGCUGGAGGCUGGAGGGUAGUGGAGGUGGUCAGAGGAUGGUCGACCUGGGGAGCCAGCUGCGGUGCGUGGGUGGAGAAGCAGGAAUGGGAGGAAGAGAGGGAGAGAGCUAGCGGUGGUGGUCUCUUCAGCCAGGUGGCUGUUAGAGAUGCAUGUCGGCGGUGAAGAGAUGGUGGCGGCUGAGACUUCUCAGUCGAGCGGUGGAGCGUUGUGGCAUGGUGUGACAGCAUGCACUGGGGGGUGACAGAGCACCGGGAGGCUGGCUCGAGUUCGAGGAGCAGAGUGGGGGGUUCCAUGGCGGUGGCAGUGGCUCAAGGCACGAGCCAACGGCACAACGGGACUUGUGGGUGUCUACACGCGCAUGACUGCUAGUUGAGAGAGGGUGGCAUGGUGCGCUGUCCUAGGAUGGAGCCGAGGCUUGUUGGCGAGAGAGUUGGGUUGCAGCAGAGCAAUGACACGCAUGACGAUGGAACACACAGUAUCCCAGCGAUGAAGAGUCGACUGAUUGCACAAUGCUGGUGCUAGCUAGACUAUUGGCUUGGCAGUGUGGCCAAGCGGCGACACGCGUGGGAUGAUGCGGCCUGGGCAUAGAACACGGCGGUAGCACAAGGGAGGAGAUGGGCCCGGCAAGGGCAUGUGGCUUGUGCUUGGCAACGGCAACUAGCUAGAGGUGGUUGGGGAGACGGGCCAAGGGAGGAGGCACUGUGGCGCCAGCCUCGUGCAAGUGGAGAAAAGAGUGGAGGGGGGAGAAGGGUAGGGGCUCACUAAGGACACGGGAUGAGACAAUGAUAACUAAAGGUGGUGACGCGCAGUUGUGUGGUGAUGCAAUGCCUAUGAUGUGGUGGACGAUGGCGCAUGCAAGCUCGGAUAGCACAGGCUGCGUUGCUACUGAUUUUGCGGGGUGUUUGGAGGUGUGGUGCUCUGUGUUUUUUAUGCUACGGGGUGUGGAUGACCUUUUGCAGGGAGAGGGAAGAGAGAGGAAUAGAGGUUUGCUUUCCGGUGAAAAGAUCAGAGGGAGAGAGGUGAUGGCCAGUGCUGUUGCUGCUAUGGUGGGAAAGGGUGGCAGAGUGGCGACGGUGGACUUUUUUCUACCAUUCUUCAGGUGGUUCCUGAGAGAGAGAUGAGAUAGAGUGAGAAAGAACAUAGAGAGAUGAGAAGAUCUUGAAAGAGAGAGAGAGAGAACAUUUGGAUGUUAAAUUCAAUAAUGUAUUUGAAUUUGA